CCAGACUCCUACGGGAGGCAGCAGUGAGGAAUAUUGGUCAAUGGACGAGAGUCUGAACCAGCCAAGUAGCGUGCAGGAUGACGGCCCUAUGGGUUGUAAAACUGCUUUUAUAAGGGAAUAAAGUGAGCCUCGUGAGGCUUUUGCAUGUACCUUAUGAAUAAGGACCGGCUAAUUCCGUGC
rnacentral:rRNA from 1 species